AUCCGCGUCCAAGCAGUUAGGCUGGGAAAUAGGCAAAUCCGUUUCCCAUAAGGCUGAGCUGUGAUGGCGAGCGAAAUAUAGUAGCGAAGUUCCUGAUUCCACACUGCCAAGAAAAGCCUCUAGCGAGGUGAGAGGUGCCCGUACCGCAAACCGACACAGGUAGGCGAGGAGAGAAUCCUAAGGUGAUCGAGAGAACUCUCGUUAAGGAACUCGGCAAAAUGACCCCGUAACUUCGGGAGAAGGGGUGCUCUGUUAGGGUGCAAGCCCGAGAGAGCCGCAGUGAAUAGGCCCAGGCGACUGUUUAGCAAAAACACAGGUCUCUGCGAAGCCGUAAGGCGAAGUAUAGGGGCUGACGCCUGCCCGGUGCUGGAAGGUUAAGAGGAGCGCUUAGCGUAAGCGAAGGUGCGAAUUGAAGCCCCAGUAAACGGCGGCCGUAACAAUAACGGUCCUAAGGUAGCGAAAUUCCUUGUCGGGUAAGUUCCGACCCGCACGAAAGGCGCAACGAUCUGGGCACUGUCUCAACGAGAGACUCGGUGAAAUUAUAGUACCUGUGAAGAUGCAGGUUACCCGCGACAGGACGGAAAGACCCCGUGGAGCUUUACUGCAGCCUGAUAUUGAAUGUUGGUACAGCUUGUACAGGAUAGGUAGGAGCCUUGGAAACCGGAGCGCCAGCUUCGGUGGAGGCAUCGGUGGGAUACUACCCUGGCUGUAUUGACCUUCUAACCCGCCGCCCUUAUCGGGCGGGGAGACAGUGUCAGGUGGGCAGUUUGACUGGGGCGGUCGCCUCCUAAAAGGUAACGGAGGCGCCCAAAGGUUCCCUCAGAAUGGUUGGAAAUCAUUCGCAGAGUGUAAAGGCACAAGGGAGCUUGACUGCGAGACCUACAAGUCGAGCAGGGACGAAAGUCGGGCUUAGUGAUCCGGUGGUUCCGCAUGGAAGGGCCAUCGCUCAACGGAUAAAAGCUACCCCGGGGAUAACAGGCUUAUCUCCCCCAAGAGUCCACAUCGACGGGGAGGUUUGGCACCUCGAUGUCGGCUCAUCGCAUCCUGGGGCUGUAGUCGGUCCCAAGGGUUGGGCUGUUCGCCCAUUAAAGCGGUACGCGAGCUGGGUUCAGAACGUCGUGAGACAGUUCGGUCCCUAUCCGCCGCGGGCGCAGGAAAUUUGAGAGGAGCUGUCCUUAGUACGAGAGGACCGGGAUGGACGCACCGCUGGUGUACCAGUUGUUCUGCCAAGGGCAUCGCUGGGUAGCUAUGUGCGGACGGGAUAAGUGCUGAAAGCAUCUAAGCAUGAAGCCCCCCUCAAGAUGAGAUUUCCCAUUCCGCAAGGAAGUAAGAUCCCUGAAAGAUGAUCAGGUUGAUAGGUCUGUGGUGGAAGUGUGGCGACACAUGGAGCUGACAGAUACUAAUCGAUCGAGGACUU
rnacentral:rRNA from 1 species